rnacentral:misc_RNA from 1 species
GCUAGAGAAGGCUUUGGGCAUGGCUGACACGUCCAUGUGGACUAUAUAAUUGUCGGUUUGUGAGAAGACAGUAGUAAAUGAAAGCCAGCACAAGAGAAUGGCAUUGUAAUGCAUAGCCAUAGAUUUAGAAAUUGAAGUUUUUUUACACAAUCAAUAUUGCUAAGUUGAGUAGGUUUAUAUAGAGAACUGAUAAAGUAUUAAUGAAACUCUUCUUGAUCUUUUAAUCCAAUUGUGGAUAAAGCUAAGAUGCACAACUUGAUUCCAGUAGCAAUGUGUAGCCAAAUGAAUCUUCAUUCUUCAUUCCACUAGCCCUCAAGUUGUCAUGCUGCACCAUGGAUUUUGAUAUUGACAGCACUAACAAACCAGAGCCCUGUUUGCUUUAGGGAUAAUAUUAUUUAGAAAAUACAUUCUAGAAUUUAUUUGACUUUGGAUGGCUUUUAGGGGAAAAAAAUAUCUAAGAAAAAUGUUUUAAUUUUAGUUUGUAGGCAGAUUUUGAAUCGGAACU